UACGGAGGGUGCGAGCGUUGUUCGGAAUCACUGGGCGUAAAGGGCGCGUAGGCGGUCUUAUAAGUCAGAUGUGAAAGCCCACGGCUUAACUGUGGAAGAGCAUUUGAAACUGCAAGACUUGAGUACCAGAGGGGAAGGUGGAAUUCCCGGUGUAGAGGUGAAAUUCGUAGAUAUCGGGAGGAAUACCGGUGGCGAAGGCGACCUUCUGGCUGGAUACUGACGCUGAGGCGCGAAAGCGUGGGGAGCAAACAGGAUUAGAUACCCCAGUAGU
rnacentral:rRNA from 1 species